rnacentral:rRNA from 1 species
UCGGGAAUUUUGGGCAAUGGGCGAAAGCCUGACCCAGCAACGCCGCGUGAAGGAUGAAAUCCCUCGGGAUGUAAACUUCGCAAGAAUGGGAAGAAUAGACGAGCGCUAACACCGUUCGUGAUGACGGUACCAUUUGUAAGCUCCGGCUAACUCCGUGCCAGCAGCCGCGGUAAUACGGGGGGAGCAAGCGUUGUUCGGAUUUACUGGGCGUAAAGGGCGCGUAGGCGGCCAGCGCAAGUCGGUUGUGAAAUCUCCGGGCUUAACUCGGAAAGGUCAACUGAUACUGCGCGGCUAGAGUGCGGAAGGGGCAACUGGAAUUCUCGGUGUAGCGGUGAAAUGCGUAGAUAUCGAGAGGAACACCUGCGGCGAAGGCGGGUUGCUGGGCCGACACUGACGCUGAUGUGCGAAAGCCAGGGGAGCGAACGGGAUUAGAUACCCCGGUAGUCCUGGCCUUAAACGAUGGAUGCUUGGUGUCUGGAGUUUUAUAGUCUCCGGGUGCCGCAGCUAACGCGUUAAGCAUCCCGCCUGGGGAGUACGGUCGCAAGACUGA